rnacentral:ribozyme from 2 species
CGCCUAAUGCAGCCGUGGCCCGUCACAAGCCGGGAUUAAAUUGCAGAGUGGGCG